UCUUGGCAAAAAAAAAAAAAAAUUCAAAAAAUUCAAAAUAUAGGAAGAAGAAAGUAAAAAUUAUAAAAAUGCCACUACCCAGAGGAAACUUCUAUUCACAUGUUGGGAAAAAUCUCACUAUGCAUAUAUGUAAAUAUAGGCAUAGGCAUCCAAUCUUUUAUAAAUAGGGUAGCAGUGAGGUUAAAAAUGUAGAUUUUGCAGGCUUACCUAUUUCAUAGGGUAUUAUGAUAAGUAAAUUAAUUAAUAACCAAAGAAUUGUGCCUGGAGCAUAGUAAAUGCUCCAAAAUAUUUACUAUUAUCACUUACAGAUUUGUAAGGGCUAAGGACCCUUACAAAUACUUAUCAUACAGUAGUGUGACAGCUUGAAGAGCUUAGCAGAACUGGUCCCCUGUGAAAUUAGUGAAAAUUAUAAAAAUGCAAUCAUCUAAAAUCUCUGCAAAUUGUCCUAAAAGAAUACAGCAAAUGAAUAAACAUCUAUCUAAGAAAAUCUAUAAAUUCCUAUUUUUAAAAAAACAGUGGGAGUCAGGUGCAUUUGAACCAAGACCACUCCCUCUCUCCUUCCUCCCAGCUCAGCAAGUCAAAGACUCCACUUCAAUCUGGUGCAGCGAAGAGCACAGGGCCUUCUUCCAGGGAGGAGUAGGAUGUCAGCUUUUCUCAUCUUGCCCCCAGCUGCCAGUUGCUGAGGCUAAGUUCCUGCAGUAGAAGGACAAACGAGGAAAGUCAGUGUAACGACAAUGAAGAAACUGCAUGUGUACAGGAAGUGUAGAGAAAGACUUUUCAAAUUCCAACGGGCAAUGGGUGAGGCAAUAAAUAUUAGAUCAAUACAGAAAUGGUAUUAACAGUUAACUUUUGUAUUAUGUUUCACAGCCUACAAAUGCUUUUGCAUACCGUGUUAUUUAACUCAACACAACUCUUUACUUUCACUAAUAAUUUAUUAUCUAUUAGUCAGUGUUAUUCAUGAAAUAGACUGAAUUAAAUACCACUGUUGCCUAUGGCUAAACCUUGAAUAUUUUUAUUUUAAGUUCUUUCUUUCAGAUGGAAGGAUGACAAGAAACUUCUCAAAUGCCUCAUCCACAAAAUCUAAUCUCAUGCAAUGAUAUGGAUUGUUAGUGACACAAAUGGGUGUACAAACAUUAUUUCAAUUGCAGAAAACCUACCCCAAACUGACUUCAACCAACAUGACUCCAAAGAUAUAGAGGCAAAGCUUGGUUUAGGACUUGUAAAAUAUCCCUAAGAUCUUGCUAUGGGCUCCAUAUGCUUUAUAGUGCCUCUAUAUUCAGGCUGCAGUAGGAAGGUCCCAGCAACUGAGUACUGCCACAUCAUGGCAGCACCCAGUCCAUCAAAAUAUAGUCUGCUUUCUGGCUAAUUUAAAAACAAACUCCAGAAUUUCUGUUCUGGAGAACAGAACACUAAUGUUCUGAUGGUAAAAAGUAUGGAGGUUACUGGCAAAAGCAACAAGUAUCUAUUACAUCAAAAUGCUGCACAUAAGAGUGCUUCACACUUUGCUAUUUUGUUCUCUCCAUGACUAGUCUAUUUCUUCUCCAGUCCAUCUUAUCUGCUGACACCAGAUUAAUUUUCGUAGAGGACAGACUUAUUCAUGUCACAUCUUUGUCCAGAAACCUUAAAAGUUCCCUGUGAUUUAUGGAACAAAUGUCAGACUUCUUAGCCUGACAUUUAAUGUCCUUCACAAUCUGGUCAUGCCCAACUCAUCUAACCAUUCUUAUCUCCAGCCUUUGCUUCUGCUGUGUGCUUUACAAAAUGUGUUUUCUUAGCCUCUCUAUUGUCUAAAUUGUACUGACAGUGUAAUAAGUAAAGCAAAUGGCAUGUUUUGUUAUGAAGCUGAAAGUAAUUUUGUCCUCCUUUCAACUCCCAGAAUUGCAAACCUCUGCCACAGUACCCACUACUUUCUACUUGACUCUGUUAUUUCUGGAUCUGCCUACUAGAGUCCAUAUUCCUCACUGAAGAUGGGGUUUAGGUAUUAUACAUCUCUGCUACUUUUUAAAAAACAAAGAACUUUGUACUUAAUAAUAUGCAUUUUGUAAAUAAACUAAUAAAUAUAGAGUAUUCAUAAGAAAUAACUCAUCCUAGAGCCUCUCUAUUUAGGCAGAAUUUUUUUUAUAUUGUAAACAAAGUGUUGUCAAAUCAUUCAUUCAUUUGUUCAGUCUUUCAUUUGUUCAGCCUUUGUUCAUUGCAAACCCUGUGCUAGAUACUGUGCAAAGUUGAUGGAAACACAAAAUUCAAUGGCUUGAUUCUCAUUCUCAAGGAACUGAAAGUGUAGGUGGAAAACAACAAAUGUAAUUACAAUACAAUGGAAUACAAUGAUGUGGGAACACAGAGGAAAAUAUAAAUUAUGUCACAGAAAUUCUUUUAAACUUUUGCAAAAAAGGAAACAUUUGAGGUGUAAAGAAAAAGAAAAAAUAGCAGAUAUUAAUCAAAAAAACAAUUCGUGUUUGGGAAUUUUGAGAGUUUAAUGUAGUGAACGUAGACUGUACUUUGGUUUAGAGGGGAAGAAGACAUUGAAAGGAUUUAUCAAAGCCUGCUUAAGAAAGGCUUUAUAUUUCAUUAAAAAGAGUUUAUAUUUCUUCACGUAGGUAAUUGGGCAAUAGCCAAAAGUUUGAGGCUAAAGAUUGGUAUCAGUUUAUACACUAGAAGGCAAUAUAGAGAAUGGCCUUGGAGACAGGAAAAGAGGGAUCAGAAGACGAUUUGAAGGUGAGUAAAACUUUGAAGAUUCUAGCAUAGAAAACAGGAUAUAUAUUAAUGUCAUUAAUUAAGGGAAUACAAAAAUAUAACAGAUUCUGGGGAUGGGAAAAAUGAUCAUGUUGAAUCUGAGAUUUAUGGAACCUUCAGGUGGAGAUAUCUAAUAGGUGAGAUAAGUUACAAGAAAUAAUGACUGCCUUUUCUAUUCCACCACUGGUUGUGGAAAAAAUGAAAAUGUUUUAAAAGUAAAACAGAAAGUGUAUAGUCUAAUAUACAAUACAAAUUAUUUUUGUACAUUUUCAAGGUAGGGAAAAACAUAAUUUGCCGGUCGGCUCAUGCUACACCAUGAGGAAAGGAAAUUAACAAACUAAUUUGUUAAUGGAAAGGAGAUGAACAAAUAACUAAAUUUAUAACUUUUAAGAGAAGGUUGAUCCAAGUUGUUCAGGAAGGUGACUUCAAGUUUCUAGACUGGAUGAACUCUCAUUUGGUUAGUAAAUCCCUGAAGACUGAUAUUUUGGGAAACAUUUUUCAGUCUUCUCUGUUGGGACUUUAUCAUGUUUUUCUUCACAUUUACUUUCUGGAAUUUUACCCCAAUAACCGUAACUUUCUGUGUACCAAAAAAACUUAGUAGUUUGGUUGUUGGAAAGGUCACAUUAAUGUUAUUUUCAGUAAUUUUGAUGGAAGCCAUCAAAACCACACACACAAAAAAAGAUAAGCUAAAAGUUAAGAAUUAUUUUGGUUUCUCUGAAGGAAUUAUAUUAAUCUUGUAUACUAUGUAAUGAGGAAGUUUUACAUGCAGG
ensembl:lncRNA